AUACGUACUACAUGUCGGAGCCAUCCGAGC
rnacentral:sRNA from 1 species